rnacentral:rRNA from 1 species
AGUGAACGCUGGCGGUAGGCCUAACACAUGCAAGUCGAACGGCAGCACAGUAAGAGCUUGCUCUUACGGGUGGCGAGUGGCGGACGGGUGAGGAAUACAUCGGAAUCUACUUUUUCGGGGGGGAUAACGUAGGGAAACUUACGCUAAUACCGCAUACGACCUACGGGUGAAAGCAGGCGAUCUUCGGACCUUGCGCGAUUGAAUGAGCCGAUGUCGGAUUAGCUAGUUGGCGGGGUAGAGGCCCACCAAGGCGACGAUCCGUAGCUGGUAUGAGAGGAAGAAUCGCCACACUGUCACUGAGGCACAGUCCAGACUCCUACGGUGGGAAGCAGUGGGGAAUAUUAGGCGAGGGGGGCGAGCCUGAUCCAGCCAUACCGCGUGGGUGAUGAAGGCCUUCGGGUUGUAGAGCGCUGUUGUUCGGAAAGAAGAGCAGCAGGCUAAUCCGCCGCUGUUCUGACGGUACCCAAAGAAUAAGCACCGGCUAACUUCGUG